UUAACUCAAAUCUGUAUGGAGUUGGAACGUUUGCCUACGUUUGCCGCUAGGGGCGCUGUACCAACUCUAUACAAACUUUAGUUA
rfam:Bombyx mori DNA, contig: Bm_scaf52_contig27019, strain: p50T/Dazao, build 2, whole genome shotgun sequence.